GUUUUGUACGUUCACUUCAUUGAAGAGGAAUCUGUGGAGAUUGUUCCUGAUUUCUGGAUAUUUAAAUCGUCAGAGAUAAACUAUUGCUCAUGAUCUUUCAAUAAUGCUUUUCCCACAAAAUGCAUCAAAAAUAGAACGGUGCCGAAAAAAUGCAUUUUACAACUGCAGAAUCUUUUAUUCGUUUGGUGACUAUAAUACAGCUCGGCGGCAUUUAGGACAAGCCGAAAUUACAUCUGAUUUCCCUAAUGUGUCGCAGGUUGCGGAUAAACGAAUUCAUAAACCCAAUAGGAAAUAUACAGGGUAUCCGACAACUUUUGACACACCCGGAGUGUGAAUGUAGAGUGGAUCAAAUUGAGUUGAAAAGUCCUAUAUCAUUUUACAAAAUUCGCAAUAGUUAUGUUAUUAAUUAAAAUAUGUGAGUUAAUGAGCGUUAGGCCGGUAUCGGCAUACAACGGAUCACUUGUACACACGUCUCUUAGUAAUGAAAGCAUCAUCUAAGCGAGAGGUGGAGUCACGCAGUCGCCUAGAUGAUGUUUUUGUUGCAAAAAGACGUAUAUAAAUAAUCAUCGUAGAAUAAUAAAAAAAGGAAGUUUUUGAUGUAUUUUAUUAAUCCAUAUUAUCAAAUACGAAUAGUCGCAUUAAAAAGAAACUUAUUUAUUUCGAUAUUUUUUACAAAAAAGAUUUCUCUUGUUUUUGACAUCAUAAUUCAUUUGAUAUCAAUAAGAUCAAAUAUUUUUUAAAGUUGGAAUAUAAAAAGAUAAGUAUUGCUUGUAUAUGUAGCAACAUGUUCGCUUUAUUUAAAAACAGUAUUUUAAAGGCACUAUAUACACAAAUUAUGUACAUACUCAUAGAUUUAUAUCUCAAUUUUUAUAAUAUGCAGCUAAUAUACAAAAUGUUGAGGAUCAUAUAGAUUAUGUAAUGGUUUAUUAUAUGAUUUGUUGCAUCGCGCUGUAUAUUAUAAUUAAGACCAAAAUUAAAACAUGACAUUUUAAAACUAUGACAAAUCUUAAUACAAUACAGUGAUACAUUCAAAAAUCAAAUAUUAUAUAUAUGUGGUAUACUUUAAUAGAUAGAUAUUAGAAUCUUGAUUAAUCCUAUUUGUACUAAGUUUGUAAUGAUAAUUGCAAUUUUUUCUAUGUGUUGACAUAUGUCAGGUUUCACUUUUUUUAUAUUUUAAUCAAAAAUUCUGUAGCAAAUAUCGUAAAACAUAUUCGCAAUUUUAUCAUGUAAUUUACAUUAUGAAUAUAUUAAUUUUCUAAAGAGAUUAAUAAUUGAACAUAAUAGAUUAAUAUAAAAUUAUUGAAUGUACAUUGUGUAAAUAUAUAUCCAAAAAUAAAAUAGUUCAAAAUAUUUUGAUAAUAUAAAAGCGAUAUGUCUUCUAUUUAUCAGAUAAUAAGACACAAUUUUAGAUAAAAAUAUAUUAUAUACAUAUACCUAAAAAUAUAUAUUAAAUACUAUUUUUUUUCAUGUCAUAGGAGUGAUAUCAAGAUAGAUUAUACAAUGUUAGGCAUUUGUGUAGUGAACAUCAAUAAUUGAAUCAUUUUGUCAAAUUCAAAAUUUUUACAUUAUAUUAACCGCUUUUGAAUAUUAUUUUUCCUUUUUGCUUGCAUCUUGUCUUUUGUAUAAUUGAAUCAUUUUGUCAAAUUCAAAAUUUUUACAUUAUAUUAACUGCUUUUGAAUAUUAUUUUUCCUUUUUGCUUGCAUCUUAUCUUUUGUAUAAAUCUGGAAUAAAAUGCACCUAACAAUUCAACAAUAAAACAAAUCAAAGCCCAUUUUGGAGAGCAUUGAACGCAGCUCCUAAUGCCCAACUUAAUUCGUGGCCAUUGAUCUUCUUGUAAAG